rnacentral:rRNA from 1 species
AUUGAACGCUGGCGGAACGCUUUACACAUGCAAGUCGAACGGUAACGCGGAGAGAAGCUUGCUUCUCUCCGGCGACGAGUGGCGAACGGGUGAGUAAUACAUCGGAACGUGUCCGCUCGUGGGGGACAACCAGCCGAAAGGUUGGCUAAUACCGCAUGAGUUCUACGGAAGAAAGAGGGGGACCCGCAAGGGCCUCUCGCGAGCGGAGCGGCCGAUGACUGAUUAGCCGGUUGGUGAGGUAACGGCUCACCAAAGCAACGAUCAGUAGCUGGUCUGAGAGGACGACCAGCCACACUGGGACUGAGACACGGCCCAGACUCCUACGGGAGGCAGCAGUGGGGAAUUUUGGACAAUGGGCGCAAGCCUGAUCCAGCUAUUCCGCGUGUGGGAUGAAGGCCCUCGGGUUGUAAACCACUUUUGUAGAGAACGAAAAGACACCUUCGAAUAAAGGGUGUUGCUGACGGUACUCUAAGAAUAAGCACCGGCUAACUACGUGCCAGCAGCCGCGGUAAUACGUAGGGUGCGAGCGUUAAUCGGAAUUACUGGGCGUAAAGGGUGCGCAGGCGGUUGAGUAAGACAGAUGUGAAAUCCCCGAGCUUAACUCGGGAAUGGCAUAUGUGACUGCUCGACUGGAGUGUGUCAGAGGGAGGUGGAAUUCCACGUGUAGCAGUGAAAUGCGUAGAUAUGUGGAAGAACACCGAUGGCGAAGGCAGCCUCCUGGGACAUAACUGACGCUCAGGCACGAAAGCGUGGGGAGCANACAGG